CUCCGUCCCCUGUGUGUCUCUUCUGGAAGAUGGAAUGAAGCUAGAUCAAGGAUUUCAGAACUGGGGCUCCCGGAGUCCCUGGCUGGGCUCCAGGGGCCUGCAGAUUUCUCGCCAUCAAAUGCAUCUGUUCGUGUGUGGUGCAUACGGUGUGGUAGUUACCAGGUGUCUGCAGCCUUUACCAGAUUUUUAGAGGACAUGUGACCAUCAGAUCAUUGGGCUCAAUGACCUUGGAAGCUGUGCUGAGCUGCACGCUCUGUACACCGCCCAUGAUGAGCGCCCGUGCCUGCCCUGGGGAGCCUUUGGUCCCUGGCACAGCUGAGCCUCUGUCCUGAGCUGCUCGUAGCCUGGCCCUGGGUCUCAGCAGAGAGCUGCCCUGGUAGUGGUCUGCACUGGCGGCCUGCCUGGGCCUUCGUAGUCCUGGCGGCUUUGCGCAGAUGUACCUGCCUUCCCUGGGACCCCUGCCGGAAUCUGACUGCCGUCCCCACUGAAAGCAGAUGGCUAAGCCUCUCUCUCUGUCUUCUCUCCCCUAGAAAAAGCUCCCCGUGUUGCUGCUGGGUCAGUCGGCUGACCUGCGGCCCGGGGAGUUUGUGGUGGCCAUCGGCAGUCCCUUCGCCCUGCAGAACACGGUGACAACGGGCAUCGUCAGCACCGCCCAGCGGGAGGGCAGGGAGCUGGGCCUCCGGGACUCCGACAUGGACUACAUCCAGACGGAUGCCAUCAUCAAUGAUGGCGAGGUCAUUGGCAUCAACACACUCAAGGUCACAGCGGGCAUCUCCUUUGCCAUCCCCUCCGACCGAAUCACGCGCUUCCUCACAGAAUUCCAAGACAAGCACAUCAAAGGUAAAGAGCUCACCUGGAGGGGCCAGAGGCAGAGGCACUAACCCCCCAGCGCUGGGGCCAGGGCCCGUUGGAGGUCCUGGGUGAACCUUGCUCACUACCGGCCAGGUCCUGUCUUCCACCCCGAAGCUAGGAGACCCCCGGGACAGCUUGUUCUCAGCCUCUGGCAGGAUCUUCCCCCCUGCCUAUCAUCAAUUCGUGGUCACAUUCACCCCCUGCCCCUCCAAAGCGAUCUCCCUUUGUCUGGGGAUCUCUGAUCUCAGCUCCCACCAUCAGUUUCUUGCACUUUCUGGACUCCUCUUAUCUGGGCUCUCCCUUAGUUGUCAGCUGUUUCUUUCCUUCCAUCCAUCUAUCCAUCUAUCCACUCACCUAUCCACCCAUCCAUCCAUCCAUCCACCCACCCAUCCACCCACCCACCCACCUAUUCACCCAUCAAUCUAUCCAUCC
rnacentral:lncRNA from 13 species